UACGAAGGGUGCAAGCGUUACUCGGAAUUACUGGGCGUAAAGGGUGCGUAGGCGGGUCUUUUAAGUCAGGGGUGAAAUCCUGGAGCUCAACUCCAGAACUGCCUUUGAUACUGAGGAUCUUGAGUUCGGGAGAGGUGAGUGGAACUGCGAGUGUAGAGGUGAAAUUCGUAGAUAUUCGCAAGAACACCAGUGGCGAAGGCGGCUCACUGGCCCGAUACUGACGCUGAGGAGCGAAAGCGUGGGGAGCGAACAGG
rnacentral:rRNA from 1 species